rnacentral:rRNA from 1 species
GAUGAACGCUGGCGGCGUGCCUAAUACAUGCAAGUCGAGCGAAUGGAUUAAGAGCUUGCUCUUAUGAAGUUAGCGGCGGACGGGUGAGUAACACGUGGGUAGCCUGCCCAUAAGACUGGGAUAACUCCGGGAAGCCGGGGCUAAUACCGGAUAACAUUUUGAACCGCAUGGUUCGAAAUUGAAAGGCGGCUUCGGCUGUCACUUAUGGAUGGACCCGCGUCGCAUUAGCUAGUUGGUGAGGUAACGGCUCACCAAGGCAACGAUGCGUAGCCGAACUGAGAGGUUGAUCGGCCACACUGGGACUGAGACAGGUCCCAGACUCCUACGGGAGGCAGCAGUAGGGAAUCUUCCGCAAUGGACGAAAGUCUGACGGAGCAACGCCGCGUGAGUGACGAAGGCUUUCGGGUCGUAAAACUCUGUUGUUAGGGAAGAACAAGUGCUAGUUGAAUAAGCUGGCACCUUGACGGUACCUAACCAGAAAGCCACGGCUAACUACGUGCCAGCAGCCGCAGUAA